rnacentral:rRNA from 1 species
UGUAAUAUUGGGCCCUUGUGCCUAUAAACCUUAUACAACUUUCANCAACGGAUCUCUUGGCUCUCGCAUCGAUGAAGAACGCAGCGAAAUGCGAUAAGUAAUGUGAAUUGCAGAAUUCAGUGAAUCAUCGAAUCUUUGAACGCACCUUGCGCUCCUUGGUAUUCCGAGGAGCAUGCCUGUUUGAGUGUCAUUAAAUUCUCAACCUUUAUCACUUUUUGCUGAUAAUGGCUUGGAUAUGGGGGUCUAUUUUGCUGGCUUCUUUACGGAUGGUCAGCUCCCCUUAAAUGCAUUAGCCGGUGCCCCGCGUGGACUGUCUAUUGGUGUGAUAAUUAUCUACGCCGUGGACAUCUGCAAUCAUAUGGGUUUGCGCUGCUUCCAACCGUCUGUUCAAUCAGACAACACAUGACAAUUUGACCUCAAAUCAGGUAGGACUACCCGCUGAACUUAAGCAUAUCAAUAAGCGGAGG